rnacentral:tRNA from 1 species
AGGCUUGUAGCUCAGGUGGUUAGAGCGCACCCCUGAUAAGGGGGUGAGGUCGGUGGUUCAAGUCCACUCAGGCCUACCA